CUUCCAAAGUGCUGGGAUUACAAGUGUGAGUGACCAUGCCUGGCCAACCCACAGCUUUCAGAGCAUGCUGAUUUCAAUUGAUACUCUGAUACAACCUGACUGACUUGUGGAGAAAGCCUACCUACAAAUGAAGCUAGGAUUCCACAAAGAAGGUGGCGAGAAGAAAAAGGGCCAUUCUGCCAUCAAUAAGAUAGUGACCCGAGAAUACACUAUCGACGUUCAUAAGCACAUCCAUGGAGUGGGCUUCAAGAAGCAUGCCCCUCAGGCACUCAGACAGAUUCAGAAGUUUGCUAUGAAUGAGAUGGGAACUCCAGAUGUGCACGUUGAUACCAGGCUCAGCAAAGCUGUCUGGGCCAAAGAAAUAAGGAAUGUUCUAUACCUAAUCCAUUGUGUGAUUGUCCAUAAAACAUAAUGAGGAUGAAGAUUCACCAACUAAGCUCUAUACUUUGGUUACCUAUGUACCUGUUACCACUUUCAAAAAUCUACAGUCAAUGUCAAUGAGAACCACUGAUUGUCAAAUACAUCAAAUAAAGUUAUAAAAUUGCAAAAAAAAAAAAAAAAAAAAAGAAGCCAACACCAAAGAAAACAAAGGUAUCUGCAUGUGUAUGACAGAACAAGUGACAGAGUAACAGAAGUCGCACACAUGCUCAAAAAAUAGAGAUGCACACAGAGACCUGACAACAUCCUGUGCACCUAUAUCCAGCCAAAGCAUCCAGCAGAUUUAACUUAGGAUUUUUCAGAUACAUGAACCAAUAAAUUCCCUUUUUUAAGC